UCUCCAACUCUGAUCCCACAAAAUUUCGAUUUCGCCACUCUCUUAAGGGAAACCCUAAACGCACUUUAUCAGAGCUACAAUGUCUUCGUCCCUGCGGUUCUUGUCCGUGUAAACAGUCACUGAUGGGAGUCACUGAACGGGGGUUUUCGACAUUCCUUUACGCAAACACGAGCACUGAAAAUGCUUGACACGUAUUUAAGUACAUUUCUCGGGAAGAGCGUUGAUAAAGCCGUUGUGAAGAAGGGCGCGCUUU
rnacentral:lncRNA from 1 species